AGAGUUGUAUCCUGGCUCAGGACGAACGCUGGCGGCGUGCUUAACACAUGCAAGUCGAGCGAUGAAGUUCCUUCGGGAAUGGAUUAGCGGCGGACGGGUGAGUAACACGUGGGUAACCUGCCUCAUAGAGGGGAAUAGCCUUCCGAAAGGAAGAUUAAUACCGCAUAAGAUUGUAGCUUCGCAUGAAGCAGCAAUUAAAGGAGUAAUCCGCUAUGAGAUGGACCCGCGUCGCAUUAGCUAGUUGGUGAGGUAACGGCUCACCAAGGCGACGAUGCGUAGCCGACCUGAGAGGGUGAUCGGCCACAUUGGGACUGAGACACGGCCCAGACUCCUACGGGAGGCAGCAGUGGGGAAUAUUGCACAAUGGGGGAAACCCUGAUGCAGCAACGCCGCGUGAGUGAUGACGGUCUUCGGAUUGUAAAACUCUGUCUUCAGGGACGAUAAUGACGGUACCUGAGGAGGAAGCCACGGCUAACUACGUGCCAGCAGCCGCGGUAAUACGUAGGUGGCAAGCGUUGUCCGGAUUUACUGGGCGUAAAGGGAGCGUAGGUGGAUAUUUAAGUGGGAUGUGAAAUACUCGGGCUU
rnacentral:rRNA from 1 species